CAAAACAUGUGGUCGCUGCCCUACAGAGGAAGAAGCUCUCGGACAAAGCAUGUAAUUGAACGAAGAUCUACUCUACUCCGUCGUGAAGAGCUCAAGGCUGUACAUCCGGUUGCUGCAGGAGCACAUCGUUCUGAUUGUGUAAUCCGUUUGAUUUGCAGUACAGGAGAGAGUGACCCCGAUCAGCUGUUCACUGUGAAAACCACAAGGACAGCGACAUCCUAUGGGAGAAACAUAUCAAGCAAAACUUUCGCAUUCAGAAGCGCAAAGGGGCAAUACGAAAUGCGAGUCCUGGCUGGAAAUGUUCAUGUGUUAUUUCAUUACAGAUGAGAAGCGAGAGACCAAACUCUUAAAAGGUGAUUUAACGUUGCGAAGGUGGUUGACUCCCCUUAAAGUAGAUGCCGGUGCACGGUACAAAGUCUAUGUCCAGUUUUCCAGUCAACGAACCAAAAAGGCACUGCUUAUGUCGAAAGUCAUGCAAUCAAAGACAUAUACUUUCACAACUGCAGCACUUUGUUUAAAUCCCUUUACGUUUCACAAAUAAACUGGAAUUCAUAGUCCGUA